CUACGGGUUGCUGCAGUGGGGAAUAUUGCACAAUGGGCGAAAGCCUGAUGCAGCAACGCCGCGUGAGGGACGACGGCCUUCGGGUUGUAAACCUCUUUUAGCAGGGAAGAAGCGAAAGUGACGGUACCUGCAGAAAAAGCACCGGCUAACUACGUGCCAGCAGCCGCGGUAAUGCGUAGGGUGCAAGCGUUGUCCGGAAUUAUUGGGCGUAAAGAGCUCGUAGGCGGUUUGUCGCGUCUGCUGUGAAAAUCCGAGGCUCAACCUCGGACCUGCAGUGGGUACGGGCAAACUAGAGUGCGGUAGGGGAGAUUGGAAUUCCUGGUGUAGCGGUGGAAUGCGCAGAUAUCAGGAGGAACACCAAUGGCGAAGGCAGAUCUCUGGGCCGUAACUGACGCUGAGGAGCGAAAGCGUGGGGAGCGAACAGGAUUAGAUACCCUCGUAGUC
rnacentral:rRNA from 1 species